CCUACGGGUGGCAGCAGUGGGGAAUAUUGCACAAUGGGGGAAACCCUGAUGCAGCGACGCCGCGUGAGUGAAGAAGUAUCUCGGUACGUAAAGCUCCAUUAGCAGGGAAGAAAAUGACGGUACCUGUCUAAGAAGCCCCGUCUAACUACGUGACAGCAGCCGCGGCAAUACGUAGGGGGCAAGCGUUAUCCGGAUUUACCGGGUGUAAAGGGAGUGUAGACGGCAGCACAAGUCUGGAGUGAAAUCCCGGGGCUUAACCACGGAACUGCUUUGGAAACUGUGCGGCUGGAGUGCAGGAGAGGUAGGCGGAAUGCGUGGUGUAGCGGUGAAAUGCAUAGAUAUUAGGAAGAACACCGAUGGCGAAGGUGGCUUACUGGACUGUAACUGACGUUGAGGCUCGAAAGCGUGGGGAGCAAACAGGAUUAGAUACCCUUGUAGUC
rnacentral:rRNA from 1 species